UACGGAGGGGGCAAGCGUUGUUCGGAUUUACUGGGCGUAAAGGGUGUGUAGGCGGCCAUGCAAGUCUGGUGUGAAAUCUUCAUCGCUUAACGGGAAGAGGUCACUGGAAACUGCAUGGCUCGAGUAAGGUAGAGGCCAGCGGAAUUCCUGGUGUAGCGGUGGAAUGUGUAGAUAUCAGGAAGAACACCUGUGGCGAAGGCGGCUGGCUGGGCCUUCACUGACGCUGAAACACGAAAGCGUGGGGAGCAAACGGG
rnacentral:rRNA from 1 species